rnacentral:tRNA from 1 species
CAGGGAGACAACAAAAUGUUUAAUAUUAUAAUUUUGUCACCUUAGGUCGAUCGGUAUCUCACAUCCUUAUACCUACUAAGGAUUUCAUUUCCUAAGUUUUUCUAGGUCACACCCAUUACUUUUCCUGGGCCAUUAGCUCAGGUGGUUAGAGCGCACCCCUGAUAAGGGUGAGGUCCCUGGUUCAAGUCCAGGAUGGCCCAUAUCUCUAUGUUGGGGGUAUAGCUCAGUUGGUAGAGCGCCUGCUUUGCAAGCAGGAUGUCAGCGGUUCGAGUCCGCUUACCUCCACUGAUUACCACCUCUUCCAUAAGCAUAUAGACAGGAAAUGUUUUGAGUCGUAAUCAAAUUCUGAACGAAUCUAGCUUCCUAAUAAUCUUAUUAAGAUGCUGGAAUCACUGAAUUAAAUUCAUUGUUUUCAGAGAACCUUGACAACUGCAUAGAUUAUUUUAAAGACAAUAAGCAUCUUUAAUGAUGCGAUUUAUUAUUGUGCGAAUGCAUUAAAUAACAUUCUAUUAAGCUGAUGCUUCA